rnacentral:sRNA from 17 species
AGCAUUAUUACCGCCAUUCCAGCAGUGGCGGGUUAGCCUACGAAUUCCCAGAAAACCCGCCCUCGAGGCGGGUUUU